AUUGAACGCUGGCGGCAUGCCUUACACAUGCAAGUCGAACGGCAGCACGGGAGCAAUCCUGGUGGCGAGUGGCGAACGGGUGAGUAAUGUAUCGGAACGUACCUUUCAGUGGGGGAUAACGUAGCGAAAGUUACGCUAAUACCGCAUAUUCUGUGAGCAGGAAAGCAGGGGAUCGCAAGACCUUGCGCUGAUUGAGCGGCCGAUAUCAGAUUAGCUAGUUGGUGAGGUAAAGGCUCACCAAGGCGACGAUCUGUAGCGGGUCUGAGAGGAUGAUCCGCCACACUGGAACUGAGACACGGUCCAGACUCCUACGGGAGGCAGCAGUGGGGAAUUUUGGACAAUGGGCGCAAGCCUGAUCCAGCCAUGCCGCGUGAGUGAAGAAGGCCCUCGGGUUGUAAAGCUCUUUCGACGGGGACGAUGAUGACGGUACCCGUAGAAGAAGCCCCGGCUAACUUCGUGCCAGCAGCCGCGGUAAUGUAGUCG
rnacentral:rRNA from 1 species